CCACAUAGGGUGGGUUGGGGGUUGGCUUCGUCUUCUCUCUUCAAUUCUUUCUCUCACUACCUCUUCUCUUGGAUGAAACUGAGAGAAAUUUGUUUGGUGGUUUACCAGUGAUUUCCAUGUGAUUGCGCACACGAGAUUAUGAUUCUAUCACUGUGCGGUCUCUAAUUCGCUUGGUGCAGGUCGGGAACCGGUUUUUGCGGCAAAAUGGUGAAGUGGUAGCCGGCGGCGAAUUGGAUCCCGCCUUGCAUCAACUGAAUCGGAGGCCGCAGUGAAGGUUUGUGUCGAUGUCUGGUUACACUCGCUCAGAUCUCAUCUCCAAGAUUAUAUUACCAAUAGUGUAUUUUUAAAUCACCAGAUUCUAACAGUUAUCUAAGGAAGAUCUGACCUAAGAGAAAGAUCUGUUGUUAGGCUCUAAUAUCUUAUCAAAUGAAGGGUUACAGAAAUCUAGAUAAUUCUUAUUAUUUGUGAUGGCACAACAACCUCAGCUAUGUCCAUAAUUUAUGAUAUGAGAAAUUGAGAAUAUAAUUGAAAGUCUAGAGAUUCAUUUUAGCUAUGAUUCUUGUCAGUUAUGGUGCAUUGAUUAUUACUUUUUUUUUUUGUUUGUUUGUUUCUUCAUAGUUAUCUUGACCAAACUACAAACACUAGAAAAAAUAUGAAUAUGAAUGCCAAGUUAGUCCAAAUGUUAGUCUGGUUUACAUUGGUUCUCAUAUUACUGAAUUCUUG
rnacentral:sRNA from 1 species